UUCGUGAAACACUUAGCUGACAAGUUGCGUGACAGUGGCGAGAUGUCGUUGAUCUUGUAGUUAUGACGGUUUCGAGAAACGGCCCCCGGAUUGACAACAGCUUUUAGCUUUUUGCUUGCAUCGAGAUCGAUCAUAUUUCUGCAGUAUUUACAGUGUUUUGACAGUCUUUAGCUCACGUAUCAGCAUGGAUGAGGGAGGGGUGCUAGUUGAGAGAACCAACAAUCCAAGAAAAAGGAAGCGAAAUGAAAAAUAAUGGGCCAAAAACCAGAACAAGGAAGAUCAUAACAGUGCUCCUGGGAAGCAGCCAGCCAUUGGAUGCCAGCACAUACCUCACAGCUUUUGUAAGGCGUCUUUGCUGACAGAAGGAGACAUCACAGAUACUUUCCAGAGACUUGAACAAGCCGUGGCAAGAUUCAUUCAUCAUGUGCCACUUCCAACUCAAUCCAGUCAUGCGCCAUCAAGGAAAUGGUCCCCAACCAAGGAGAGAGCAGAAGUAUGCCCCAACAUUUCAAAUUACGACACAGCAAGGGGAAAAUGUGGAGGUGUGCUCCGGAAGAUUCAGAUCCAUCCUUGUACUUGGUUGGAAACGUCUGGGCAACCUAAUGAAGUACGCCUGCCAUUCAAAAUCAG